CCCUCUCCGGAUACCUAAUCGACAUCUAUCAUUCAUUUGCAUUUAAUCAAAUCACUCUCCAGGUCUCCAUGUCUGAUCGUUAUCUUCCCUUCUUCUUCAUUCUCACUCAAAAUCAUAGCUGCCCUCAAAUCCUUUCCUUUUCCUUCUAUGCCUGCAGGAGAUCAAGAAAACCCUAAUCGGCCUCAAUCGUCAGUUACGGCCUUUUAAUGUGCAGACCGUCAAUUAGGUAUCAAAGGGUUCGAUUAGGGUUUCCCAAGGAGGAACCGCCCCUCGCUUUCUGCUACACGUCCACCAUCCACGUCGCACGCCACAUCGGAAACUUCAACCGCCGCUUAGAUUUUACAGUUGUUGAUGCAGAAAGGAAUUGGAGUAUGACCAUCGUUGAAGAGAAGCUGAAUUCAAUAUAUGUUUCGAUGUUAUUAUUUUUCAUGGUUUUACUCUAUCUAGAUGUUAUACCGACACUGACUGGAGCGAACCAGUAUCAGUCAGUGUAACACACAUAGGCCAAAUAAAUCUUGAUAAUUUAAUUUAACUGGUAAAAUAAUAAUAAAUAAUGGUGAGAAAUGAUUGAAAAGUAAAUAAAUAGGGGUACAGAAACAAACAGUGAUUGACCUCCAAACUAGGAAAGCUUUAUUUUGAUAACUGAUGGUUUUUUUAACCACCAUUGCCGAUGAUCACCGUCUAGCUUUCAAUCUUUUGUCAUCUUGAUCGUUAUCUCUUUCACGUACAAUUAAAUCAGGUUCUGCAUAAGUGGAGAAGGUAUGUAUGGUACAAGCUAUAUAUUACAAGUGUCUACUUAAAAAAAGUAAAGUUUUAUAAGUUUUGGGGAUUUUAUGCAGCAAUAUUGGUGCAUAGAUGGUUGCCUGGUUCAAGAAAGAAGAAGAAAUGGGUGCAUUUGUGGCUGCAAGGGGUCGCAUUGGCUACUGGCAUAUUUGGAAUUCGGACAAAGUUUCAAGGGACACAAGGGGUUGUGGCUAAUUUCUAUAGCUUGCAUUCUUGGAUGGGUCUUCUUUGUGUUUCUCUUUUUGGGGCUCAGUUGGGUUUGAUGAAAAUUUUGGGACGAACCGAUAAGUACGGUAUAUGUCUAUAACAAGUCAGGUGAACCUACAUUCAAGCGACCGCGUCUUCAAACACCAUCACUAUUGCUGUCAUUUAAGAUCAUGAUCCUGCCGAUGGCGUCUCAAUUGAUCCUUCUAACCUCAAGUUUUAUUAGAAAAGCAUGGAUGGCGGCAGCUUGUUCCUCCUGAUUGGUGCAUCUUUAUACUUAAUUACUCAAUGUCUUCAUGUUUAUCAAUGACUGGGCAGUAGUUAUGCAGAACCUCAAGGCAACUUACAUUGGUAUCUUUAGUUUUGCAGUUGUUUAAUUAUAAUAUGAGUUGAAUCUAUGUUAUGUUAUGUAUUGUAUCCUUGCAGUGGUUUUGCAUUUUGCACAUUCUGGGUGUCUAUUAAACUUGCCAGAUCUUCAAAGGUGUAUGCUGUAGUUGUAGCCUUUUUAGUUGUGUGUAGUCAUUUGGUAAUUUAAGCUGCAACUGUAGUUAGAGAAUAUAGAAUGGCUAAAAACUUUAUACAAACAAAAACUUAAAGUAGAAACCCUUAAAUCUAUUGUUAAUACUCAUUAGGGUACACUCGGCACCGGUCGGGUACCCUGCGAGUAUUGUGAAUAGCUCGGCUACACCGCCUCAACCUCCAACCUGCUAGCAAUCAGGUAGCCCAAACUGGUACCAUAACCAUCAAUGAUAAUUUGUGAAGUGAGAUAUUAGUUUGGUUUUCAAAAUAAAUUACGAGAAGCCUGCCAUACAACUUGCGCCGAAUAAAACAAAAGUACCCGUGGCAACGCGCGGGCAUUCCCACUUGUUGGUAUUGUUAGGUUUUGAAUUUGGGAUUAAUUUUUUUUAUGUCUGGUUGUUGUUAUUAUUAGUUAGCUUUAGGGGAAUAUAUGUGUUUAUAGUUUUGGUGAAAUGAGUUGAGUUGAAUUGUGUUAAUGGUUUUGUGGAGUUGCAAGCAAUGUUGUUUGAUUGAAUGUUGGUUUGGCAUUUUGCAUUGCUGCGAUCCAGGUAGAUGCUUCGGUUGCUCGCUUUGCACCACUGGAGAAGGAGUGUACGGAGAAACAAUGCUCGAGAAAAAGGUAUUGCAGAGUUUUGUUAAUUGAAGUUUGAUGCGAUUUUGGUCGAAAUGACAUGAUUGCUAACAUAAAUGAGUUGAGGUAUUGCUCGUUGUUGUCAUUAUUUGUAGUUUGCACAUUGCAGACCCUUUUGGUUUGAUUUGGGCAACUCUAAAUCCAAUAAGACACAUACUCUUUUGAACUAAAACCUUUGUUGUUUGUUGGAAACGCUUUUUUUUA